GUCCGUCCGAGCGUCGACCGUGCGUCCUCUAGCGAUUCCCCGAUCCAGGCCCACGAGAAAAACCAGCGAAAAAAAUUCCACCGAUUACCAAAUCAAUCCCUCCUCCUGCGCCCUGAUCCAGUCUCCCAAUCCGGGGCUCCUCCCCGCAGCCCUCCAGAUCGGCGCCGCCGCCCCAUCUUCUCCUCGCUGUUCUCGUCUCCUCCCGUCUCCCUUCCGAUCCGCUCCCGUCUCCAGUCUCCCUUCCUCCGCCCGUCUCCUCCUCUGUGUGCGCCGCCACCCCUCUUCCCUCCCGCCACCUCCUCCAGCGCUCCGGCGCCGACCCGAAACCAGACCAGGCAAUGGGCAGCGGCGGUUCGAGCAGCCGGCGGCUACGGCAGCAACCUUGAGCAGUGGAGGUGAUGCCCUCCUCGGCACGGACGGUGGCGGUAUCCUUUUAUUUUAUCUUAGGUAUGGACUCAGUACAGAAGAUGCAGCCUUCAAAGUUCAAAGCAGAGCUCUGUGACUUGUAUGCCAGAAUAUAGAUUGUCUUCUUUUGUUGGAUUGUUCCCACCAGGUGGUGGCAAAGCUAUUGGUUGCUGCCUGAAGGUAUGGUUCUGCACCUAACAUGUAUUGUUCGUGGGGUGUAAAUGGUCUAUUCCGGUUUCAAACUAACUAUGGAUCUAAUGAUGAGGGUUAGAAAAAUUCAUGACCAACUUGUGAUGGAUAAAGGGUAUUCUGUUGAUAACCUGAAUCUGUCAGCAGUCACACCAUCUUCAUUUUUAUGUGCAGAGAAUAAAUUUUGUCCCGUCUAGCUGAUAACUCAUUUCACGUAUUGUUCUGGUCAUGUAUUCCUGUUGGUGUUUUUCUACUUUAUUCUGAUUUUUGUUCUGCACCUGUCGCCUCUCACUUGUGCAGCCACCUAUGUUUUCCAGUGUAUCGGUGAUCUGUAGUUUUGUACUAAGGUGAGCAGGAUACAACCAAGAGAUGAUGUGUGCUUCUAGCCUAAACUCAAUCUGGAUGGUUAGUCCUGUUACUUGAUUUGGGAGAUCCAUGGCUAAUAACGAAGUGCAGUUUUGGUUUCAAAAUUUACUACACACAAGGCAACAUUGCCUUCGAUAGUAGUGUACAAAUAGAAGUUCAGAAGUCCUCGAAUUUUUUGUUUAUGCUCUUUGGAGAUCAGUCUAAUAAGAAGUACUUAGGUGUCCUGUACCAUUUGGGCAUGACUUUAAGAUGUCAAGUUGUUUUAGGUAACAGAAUUACGGCUCCCAAGUAAAAUGGACUCAAUGACAUGCCAAAAUAAUACUUUGACAACUUCUUGUUAACAUGGUGAAAUUUGUUUCAAAAUAACAUUGGAUGUUUUCUCUAAUCUCAUCAUUGUAGGAAAUUACAAAGUCUGUGAUGCUUGUCAGUCACUGAAAUGAAGGCAUGAUAUGUUUGCUGCCUUGAAACUGAAGCAAGAGAUCCUUUUGUGUGAGUCAUUUUCUAUUUUUAAAGCACAUGGAAUGAGAAUAUUAAACUAUUAUCUAGCCCUGACACUCCUACAAAAGUGUGUGUUGCUAACAUCACCUGGACUUGUUUAGCAUUUAAUGUCCCCAUGUUUUCUUACACCCAUUAGACAUUGUGCUGUUUGAACAGCAGAAAUACAGGCUAGCCUCCUUGUUUUUCCACCUACUCUCUGAAUAAUUAAUACUUUCCUGUUGUUACCUUGAUAAUUCGGAAGUCAUUACCAACUUAUUGUCCUUUUAUGUUGUUGAUUAUGAAAAAAUAGUUUUGAUCUUUCUUUACCAGGCCCUGUUGAUCAAAGAUCUUCAUCCUAUGGUGCGAUCUAAAAGAAACGUUGUUAUCUUCGGAAAAAAGAUUUUUUUAAAGGGGUGUUUGGUGGUAGUCAAAUAAAUGAAAGAAAGAUUCAUCUCUUUGGAUGUAGCUUAAUUUGUGAAGUAUGAAACGCAAAAUCAGUAAAUAUCCUGUUUUACAGGAGAAGUACUGUAGAACUUGCAAUGGCAAAAAAUGCUAUGAAGUUCCGGUACUAUUGCACAGGCCUCAGAUAACUGUAGGCAUAGAACACUGCUAUGUUGAUUAGCUAUUUUGAUGAUUCAGUAGGAAGUUGAGGGACUAUUUAUCUGGGUUCAUGUCUCUUCCAUUUAUUAUACUUCAUGGGAAAAUGAUGCUCCGUUUGCAGUUUUCCUUUCGUUUCAAGGAAUCUGGAAUUUUAUUAUAAACCCAAUUUGACCUUACAAAAAAUAAGCAGCAUUUCUCUAAUGGAAGAAGCACACCCUUGCUGGGAAGAAGCUCUGAUGCUGCUAAAGGCGAUAGGGUCAAGUGUAUCUCGGAUCCUAUGCAGCUUUUGAGACAGAUCAGAGGUGAUUCGUGGAUAGAAAAGAAGAGCGGUAGCAAGCUACCUGUUUGUGUUGAAGUAACUCCUUGCAGCUCAUCUAAAAAUAAAAGACUCAUUGCAGCUAGGAAACAUUACAUGUUCUGAACAUCUGCAGCUAACAUAUAUCGAUGUUUGUUUCUUUAGCUCCUUGGUUUUUGUCCCUUGAUGAAAUCAAUCUUCAUCUGUACAGGAGCAGAGGUGGAAGUGUCCAAUGUGUGGCCAGAUUGUUCGCUUUAUCAGGGGGUCACAUUGUUUUGUUCUUUUCGGUAGCCUGUUUUUCCCCUCGACUGACCAGCAUUUGGUUGAGUCUGACCUGAAUUUAGGACAGUUGGUAACUGUACUUACUUUGCUCUAGAGCCGUAGGUGCUGUGAAAGCAGAGAUCGGCAUUGAAUUUGGAAGAGCUGCAGAUUGCCUCUACUCUUUGUGCAAAAUGGUCAAUUUUGCAUAUUGUCAAAAGAAAACAAGAGAUCUCAAAUCUGCAUAUGGACACCAAGCAACAUGCUGAAGGAAAGGGUGUCUGUACUUUUUGAGCUUGCUCCUUUGCCUCCACAAGGCCUGGACGCCUGGUCACUUAGGAUGUAUUGUGUUUAGUCUGUAGUUAUUUAGAGAUGAUGUGUCAGACUGUCGGUAGUUCAUCAUUUGUUCUGUGAAUAUCUGGAAACCAUCUGUUGCAAUGUUCUUGUUUCCUCAUACUUUUGUUUCAUUGGACACAUGAGCAGAUUGACAUUUUAAUUUUAGAUGAUUUGAUGCAUGGAUUUGA